CGAGCGAACAGACGAGGAGCUUGCUCCUCUGACGUUAGCGGCGGACCGCCGAGUAACACGUGGAUAACCUACCUAUAAGACUGGGAUAACUUCGGGAAACCGGAGCUAAUACCGGAUAAUAUAUUGAACCGCAUGGUUCAAUAGUGAAAGACGGUUUUGCUGUCACUUAUAGAUGGAUCCGCGCCGCAUUAGCUAGUUGGUAAGGUAACGGCUUACCAAGGCAACGAUGCGUAGCCGACCUGAGAGGGUGAUCGGCCACACUGGAACUGAGACACGGUCCAGACUCCUACGGGAGGCAGCAGUAGGGAAUCUUCCGCAAUGGGCGAAAGCCUGACGGAGCAACGCCGCGUGAGUGAUGAAGGUCUUCGGAUCGUAAAACUCUGUUAUUAGGGAAGAACAAAUGUGUAAGUAACUAUGCACGUCUUGACGGUACCUAAUCAGAAAGCCACGGCUAACUACGUGCCAGCAGCCGCGGUAAUACGUAGGUGGCAAGCGUUAUCCGGAAUUAUUGGGCGUAAAGCGCGCGUAGGCGGUUUUUUAAGUCUGAUGUGAAAGCCCCACGGCUCAACCGUGGAGGGGCAUUGGAAACUGGAAAACUUGAGUGCCCUGAGGAAAGUGGAAUUCCAUGUGUAGCGGUGAAAUGCGCAGAGAUGUGGAGGAACACCAGUGGCGAAGGCGACUUUCUGGUCUGUAACUGACGCUGAUGUGCGAAAGCGUGGGGAUCAAACAGGAUUAGAUACCCUGGUAGUCCACGCCGUAAACGAUGAGUGCUAAGUGUUAGGGGGUUUCCGCCCCUUAGUGCUGCAGCUAACGCAUUAAGCACUCCGCCUGGGGAGUACGACCGCAAGGUUGAAACUCAAAGGAAUUGACGGGGACCCGCACAAGCGGUGGAGCAUGUGGUUUAAUUCGAAGCAACGCGAAGAACCUUACCAAAUCUUGACAUCCUCUGACCCCUCUAGAGAUAGAGUUUCCCCCUUCGGGGGACAGAGUGACAGGUGGUGCAUGGUUGUCGUCAGCUCGUGUCGUGAGAUGUUGGGUUAAGUCCCGCAACGAGCGCAACCCUUAAGCUUAGUUGCCAUCAUUAAGUUGGGCACUCUAAGUUGACUGCCGGUGACAAACCGGAGGAAGGUGGGGAUGACGUCAAAUCAUCAUGCCCCUUAUGAUUUGGGCUACACACGUGCUACAAUGGACAAUACAAAGGGCAGCGAAACCGCGAGGUCAAGCAAAUCCCAUAAAGUUGUUCUCAGUUCGGAUUGUAGUCUGCAACUCGACUAUAUGAAGCUGAAUCGCUAGUAAUCGUAGAUCAGCAUGCUACGGUGAAUACGUUCCCGGGUCU
rnacentral:rRNA from 1 species